rnacentral:tRNA from 1 species
UUUUUUAUAGUGUAAAUAACACACUACAUUUUCGUUGUAGAGCUGAAGUAUUAACUUCUAAAAAUU